rfam:Veillonella montpellierensis DNF00314 contig08, whole genome shotgun sequence.
UCUUUGGCCCCGUGCAAUGGGAGCCUGUGAAUCGUGUCAGGACUGAGAGGUAGCAGCACUAAGCAGUUACUUUCAUGUGCCAUGGGAACUCCAGAGGGCU